UGGCAAUAUCACUUUGAAACACGUUCAUGUAUGAUCACCAAAGUUAAGCAAUGUUGAGCCUGGUCAGUACCUAGAUGGGUGAGCACUUGGCAAUACUAGCUGCUGUAAG